rnacentral:rRNA from 1 species
UUCUGGCUCAGGAUGAACGCUGGCGGCGUGCUUAACACAUGCAAGUCGAACGGGGAUGCUUAUGGAAGGAGUGCUUGCACUUUGGAAAUGAGUAUCUUAGUGGCGGACGGGUGAGUAACGCGUGGGUAACCUGCCCCAUACCGGGGGAUACCACCUGGAAACAGGUGCUAAUACCGCAUAAGCACACGGGAGCGCAUGCUCUGUGUGAAAAACUCCGGUGGUAUGGGAUGGACCCGCGUCUGAUUAGCCAGUUGGCAGGGUAACGGCCUACCAAAGCGACGAUCAGUAGCCGGCCUGAGAGGGUGGACGGCCACAUUGGGACUGAGACACGGCCCAAACUCCUACGGGAGGCAGCAGUGGGGAAUAUUGCACAAUGGGGGAAACCCUGAUGCAGCGACGCCGCGUGAGUGAAGAAGUAUUUCGGUAUGUAAAGCUCUAUCAGCAGGAACGAGACAAGACGGUACCUGACUAAGAAGCCCCGGCUAACUACGUGCCAGCAGCCGCGGUAAUACGUAGGGGGCAAGCGUUAUCCGGAAUCACUGGGUGUAAAGGGAGCGUAGACGGCUGUGCAAGCCUGAAGUGAAAGGCGGGGGCCCAACCCCUGGACUGCUUUGGGAACUGUACGGCUGGAGUGCAGGAGAGGUAAGUGGAAUUCCUAGUGUAGCGGUGAAAUGCGUAGAUAUUAGGAGGAACACCAGUGGCGAAGGCGGCUUACUGGACUGUAACUGACGUUGAGGCUCGAAAGCGUGGGGAGCAAACAGGAUUAGAUACCCUGGUAGUCCACGCCGUAAACGAUGAUUACUAGGUGUCGGGGGGCAGAGGCCCUUCGGUGCCGCAGCAAACGCAUAAAGUAUCCCACCUGGGGAGUACGUCCGCAAGGAUGAAACUCAAAGGAAUUGACGGGGACCCGCACAAGCGGUGGAGCAUGUGGUNUAAUUCGAAGCAACGCGAAGAACCUUACCCGGCCUUGACAUCCCCCUGACAGUGUAUGUAAUGUACAUUCCCUUCGGGGCAGGGGAGACAGGUGGUGCAUGGUUGUCGUCAGCUCGUGUCGUGAGAUGUUGGGUUAAGUCCCGCAACGAGCGCAACCCUUACCCACAGUAGCCAGCACAAAAGGUGGGCACUCUGUGGGGACUGCCGGGGACAACCCGGAGGAAGGUGGGGAUGACGUCAAAUCAUCAUGCCCCUUAUGGCCGGGGCUACACACGUGCUACAAUGGCGUAAACAAAGGGAAGCGAGAGAGUGAUCUUAAGCGAAACUCAAAAAUAACGUCCCAGUUCGGAUUGCAGUCUGCAACUCGACUGCAUGAAGCUGGAAUCGCUAGUAAUCGCGGAUCAGAAUGCCGCGGUGAAUACGUUCCCGGGUCUUGUACACACCGCCCGUCACACCAUGGGAGCCGGGAAUGCCCGAAGUCGGUGACCUAACCUGAAAAGGGAGGAGCCGCCGAAGGCAGGUCUGGUAACUGGGGUGAAGUCGUAACAAGGU